AGAGUUUGAUCAUGGCUCAGGAUGAACGCUGGCGGCGUGCCUAAUACAUGCAAGUCGAACGAGAUGCUUUUGUAGCAAUACGAGAGUAUUCUAGUGGCGAACGGGUGAGUAACGCGUUGGUGACCUACCCCAAAGUGUGGGAUAACAGUCCGAAAGGAUUGCUAAUACCGCAUGUGGUCUUCGGAUUUAGAAACUGAUGACUAAAGGAGCAAUUCGCUUUGGGAGGGACCUGCGUCCCAUCAGCUAGUUGGUGAGGUAAUGGCUCACCAAGGCGACGACGGGUAGGGGACCUGAGAGGGUGGCCCCCCACAAUGGAACUGAAACACGGUCCAUACACCUACGGGUGGCAGCAGUAGGGAAUAUUGCUCAAUGGGCGAAAGCCUGAAGCAGCAACGCCGCGUGUGCGAUGAAGGCCUUCGGGUCGUAAAGCACUUUCCUGAGAGAUGAGAAAGGACAGUAUCUCAGGAAUAAGUCUCGGCUAACUACGUGCCAGCAGCCGCGGUAAUAC
rnacentral:rRNA from 1 species